UACAGAGGGUGCAAGCGUUAAUCGGAAUUACUGGGCGUAAAGCGCACGUAGGCGGAUUUGUAAGUCAGGGGUGAAAUCCCGGGGCUCAACCUCGGAACUGCCUUUGAUACUGCAAAUCUCGAGUCCGAUAGAGGUGGGUGGAAUUCCUAGUGUAGAGGUGAAAUUCGUAGAUAUUAGGAAGAACACCGGUGGCGAAGGCGGCCCACUGGAUCGGUACUGACGCUGAGGUGCGAAAGCGUGGGGAGCAAACAGG
rnacentral:rRNA from 1 species